GUUUUUUAUUUGAUGAUGGAAAAUAGAUAAUGAAAAACGGAAAAUGGAUCCGUCAUCUGUUAUUCGAUUUUAACGUAAUGAUUUUUUUUUUUUUGGGGAACCACGAGCGGAGCAACUACUUCCGGUAGUAUACAUUUAACCGUGCUUUAAACAUGGAGAGUGACACGUUCGUGCUCUUUCGGGGCGGUAAACGUAUUACCCUACAGGAUGGCGAUUUGUCUGUGGAAAACAUCUGCAGAGUAUUUCAGGUCCGUCGCAGUAGUCUGUACCUUACAGACGAUGCAAACAGAGCCAUUAUGCCUGAGCCAGCAGGACAUUUUUCCACCUUGUAUAUGUCCAACCGCGGCCAUUACGAGGUCCACGGAGAGCCAGAGCAAAGUCAGUCACCUGCAGGCAGAGCACCAGCACCUUCACCCACUCCUCCGCCCACUUUCCCCUUCAGCUUCAUGCACCAAGCCUCAUCUUCUUCUACUGGGAGUGCAGCUUCACAUGGAGCUCCACGAGCUCGUGGAAGGUUUCCUCAAAAAUCAUUUCACAGGUCAAUCAGUAUUGGUGAAAUGGUGAACGGCAAGAUCAGUACCUCCAUGGCGGUUGACAUUUGCUUUUUGGAAGAUGAGGCAACUGUUGAGGGAAUAACCGCAAAGGUGCAGGGUGCCUUGGAUUCUGAUGAGCCAUUUACUUUGGCGGACAGCCAAUUUAAUGAAGACUGCGAAGGCUCAAGAAAUUCCAAGUUCUGGGCUUCAAACUCCAGGAAAAUCUACGCUAUCUCUGACACUGACUUUGUGGAGUUCCAGAAUGGAAGAUGACCUAAAGUAAGUAGAAGGUCCCAAGCAGAAGAGGUCAUUUCUAAUAUGGACCACCUGAAAAAAGCUGCAGAGAGCCUCCCAGACAUCACUUCAUCUGUAAACCAGCUGUUUGAGCUUGCAAAGGCCAAAAGCGCAGUGGCAAAAUCUCUAACUAUGACUCCUAUAAAGGACGCCUUCACCUGUAUGAUCUGUAGAGGUAAGAAUAUGUAACAUUAGGUCAUUGUAUU
rnacentral:lncRNA from 1 species